ACAAAGUACCGGUAUCAGAUCGGUAUCAGACCGGUAUCAGACUGGUAUCAGAUCGGUAUCAGACCCGUAUCAGACUGGUAUCGGAUCGGUAUCAGACUGGUAUCAGACUGGUAUCAGAUCGGUAUCGCUGAUACUGGCUUGUAUUUUACUUGGUAUCGGAUCAGAAAGAAAGCGAGUGGCAUCGUACAUCACUACUCCAGUACUCCUGCUGGCAGCACGCGGUGUGACGGAAACCUACGAGCCUGCGUGCUCUAGCCUGGAGCUGCUCUUAAAGGGCCAGCGUCACUAAAAUACCCCACACAGUUAUCACAAUACCAGCUUUACAAGCAGAACGAAUGUGAACAGGUAAACAGUUUAAAACAUAAUAAGCUCCGUUUCACAAUGACACAUGUUUAAUAUUAGUUCUCUUGGCUACAGAUAAAUAUAUUUAGUUCAGUAAACGGCCUCUCAUUACACAGUUCUUACCUUUCAGUUUACCAAACCAAGACUUGGUGGUUCACAUGUUGCAGCUGCAGAGCCGAAUGUCGCCAUGGCCAGGAAAGUGUCUCAGAAACAAGUCAUGGAAGGUGGGAGAUUACUGGUUCUCCGGUCAGCACUGCAUCUCAG